rnacentral:lncRNA from 1 species
AUAUAUAGAGAGAGAGAGAGAGAGAGAGAGAGAGAGUAGGACUAUUAUAUAUAUACUUUUAUGAGUAUUGAUCUUUUUGUAUUUAUAAGAUUCUGGUCAUUGGAUAAAAGAAUGUGCGGUUAAGAAAAUAGUGGUUCUAGUUAGGGUGAUAGUGGUGCCGUAGGGUUGAGUGGUUGCCUGGUUGGUUAGAUGAAUAGUAUGAUCUAACAGAUGAAAAUGGUCAAAAUGGUAAAUUUAACGGCCAAAAAUUUAUGAGUAUAAAGAGGUCUAUACUCAUAAGAAUAUAGUAACCGAAUUAUAUAUAUAGAAUUAGGCUGGAAUACUAUU